UAGAGGGGGUUCGAUUCCUUCCUUUCUU
rnacentral:tRNA from 1 species